CAACCGUCAGCUGUUACCGGGCAGAUCAUUUUGGCUCAGUCAAUCAUUGGCCAGUCUGAGGAGAGUUGUCUUAUGAUGUGUGUGCACGUGAAGUCAUCGUUUUUAUAUUUUUCUUCUGGGAUGAAUAGCUAUUGCCCGGUUGUAAAAUUAUCACAAUUUUACGUAAGAAAAUACCCUAAAGGAUUGAUUGUAAACAUCGUUUGACGUGUUUCUACAAACGGUAAUGGAACUUUGAACAUUUCGUAUAUGGAUUUGCGUCCACGCCACAUGGCAUUGUAAAGUGUUCUGGAUGGGUCAACAAAACGGACGUAUUUGGACAUAAAUGAUGGACUUUGCAGAACAAAUGAACAUUUCUUGUGGAAGUGGGUGCCCAUCCGAGUGCAUUCCACCGAAGAUCAGCAAAGGGCUGGGAUACUGUCCUGUAUCAGAGGUCUCUGAGGAAGAAGUGACUGAGUCGUUCCAUGAACAGAUUGUCUUUUCGGUAGUGCAAGGUUGUAAAAUAAUUCCGUCAUAAAGAACACAUAUUCAACUUAAAAAAAAGACAUGUUUUCCAAUCUUCAUAUGUUAAAUUAAUUAAGAAAAACCGGUGGACCAUUUCAUAUUAUAUCAGCCAUAACUCUGCUCGUGACAGGGGGAAAGGAAGCUGGUUGUGAGUAGCAAGGAGGGGCAAUUGAAUGCAAGCUUAUCAAAACAAAUGUAGCUUGUUAUUUGCCUAGAAUAUGACACCGCUCUUGUCUGUGCUCUGGCCAACGUUUAAAAUGCCACCCUAUACAGUAUAGUGCACUAACUUUUAUCAGGGAAUAGAGUGCCAUUUAGGAUGCAUUGUUGUUUGCAUUACUAGGUUGAAAUGACACGGCACUCAGGUGAGGCAGGGCAGAGUAGGGCAGAGAUUUGGAUAUAUAGUUGCAGGUUAUCAGGUCCAGCACCUGUGACAGACACAACACACCACACCUCAGAGGACAGAGUCACAGCAUCAAUUGGCUACAGGUGAGUUAAAUUGUUCCAUUUGUAUUUUUAAACGAUUUCCAUUUUGAAUUUAAAUCUCAUUUGAUAUAGAUGAAUGUAGUUGUGAACAAAAACAUAACAAUUUAUGAAAAUAUAUGGACACAUUUUGAUAUUUUGUCACGUUUAGAAAGUGAUCAUGUGCAGUGCAUAAGUUAACAAUAGAUUAUCUUUCUUAAUUUAUCUUCCUCAGGUUUUUUGUGUGCUUUAUUGUGAUUCUAACAAGGCUGCACACGUAGUUGACGGUUCUCAGAAUUUUUGUGUUUAUUUUUAAAACAGGUCAAAAAAACACUAACACCCUAUUGCAGUGGCAAUAGCACGAUUAUAUGUGCAUAUUUAAGCAAAGAAUGCAAAUAUUGUGAGAGAAAUACUUUGCAGUGUCUUUCUGCUUGUAUAACAAUCCUUCCAACCCUCCCUCAUUCUCUCUCUCUAUCUCUCUACCUCUCUCUCGCUACCUAUCUCUCUCUCUCUACCGCUCUCUCUCUCUACCUCUCUCUCUUUUUCUCCUUUCUUAUAGAUCGCAACAAUUUUUGGACAUUACAGUUACAUAAUUCGUUGAGAUGAACUCAUCUAAAUUCAAUGACACGUCCACAUCUCCUCCAAUCUCCCUGAUUGAUACGGGUGAAGAAAGUGUCCUUUCGGUACGUUUUAUCCCCAUGCUUACUGCCUCCUAUGCAAUCAACAUCAUCCUGGGUCUCCCAGCCAAUGUCUAUAUCCUGUGGCUGAUACUGACCGGAGCGGGAGGGACGAUGGCCUCAGAGUUCUUCGCUCUCAACCUGACUGUGUCAGAGAUCCUCUUCUGCCUCUUUAAUGCCGUCCGCAUAGCUGAACUCCAGUCAGACAAAUAUGUCCAUUCUAAUCUUGUCCACAAAGCUGCUUCUUUUUCUUUUGGGUUAAUUUUCUCUGGUCGUCCCCUGUUCCAGUGCUGUAUUUGUUUACAGCGAUACCUGGCAGUGGUUCACCCUGUGGUCUUCCUGAAGUACAAACCCCUGAGAUACAAGGUUGGGUGUUGUAGUGUUGUCUGGCUGAUGGUUCUUGGGUCCUGCUGUCUAUCUUUGUUAGAGACACUUUCACCAAUGUUCUUCUACUCUGUCCUUGGCCAGUCUCUGAUCUAUUUCCUUCUGAUGUCAUUCUGCUGCCUCUCAGUUCUCUGGGCUCUGAAACGUCCAGGGCCAGGGGAUGGGGACAGGGAGGGGACAAACAGCAUUAAGAUGAAGGCCUUUAAGCUUCCUUCACACAUCAGAACUACACGAAGUGAGGCGAUCAAUACCUCAACUCCAGCUACCAACUAUUCCAUUCCUGAAGACCCACUGGCUGGCUACUUUUACCAUAUCAAAUCAAUCAGCACUGCUUCCUUAGCAAUCAACAUCAUCCUGGGUCUCCCCAUGUAAAGGAAUUUAUAUGUUUGAAUGUAAUGAUUAAAUAAUUCUACCCUGAGACUUAACUAUUAGGGAUAUGGUCUAUAUAGCAUGUAGAGUGAGCCUAAGUCUAACGAGGUUGGACUAAGAUAAGAGAAGAAUGUGUGUCUCUCUGUUUAAGUAAACACCAAGAACUGUUAAACUGUGGUUGACCUGCCCUAGCUUGAACUCUGAGGGUUUAAGAUAUGAGAGGGAAUCCUCCUCAAGGUUUCCCUAAUCUCAGAGGAAUGAAACUGUCGGCUGGGUAAUGAUCUAUAGUGUUAAGAGAUCUGGGCCUUAAUGUUUGUGUGUAUGUGUGUGCGUAAAUACGGAACAUGGUAUAUAAUGAUGUCUCUGUACAAUGGACUUCAGAGCGCACUCGUGAAUAAACACUUCUGAAUCUUGUAAGCUGGGCCUCCGUCUGUGUUAUUCAACCAGAAUCUUACCCAUUCUGGGAGGCAGACUGAGUAUGUUAAUUGGAGUUAACAUUGAGAACAUAAUUCUCAUAACACCCCACUAAUGUCUACAUUCUAUGGCUGAUACUGACUGAAGAUGCAGGGACGAUGGCCUCAGAGUUCUUCUUUCUCAACUUGGCCAUGUCUGAGGUCCUCUUCUGCUUGUUUUCAAUCUUGUAUUUUAUCUGGUUACACAACCCCUCAAUCGUUGUCUCAUGCAUCAUGUUCUUUUCUUAUGAUUUUCUCUACACCGGCCGUCCUGUUUCAAAGCCGUAUCUGUAUGGAGCGCUACCUGGCAGUGGUCCACCCUGUGGUCUACCUGAAUUACAAACCCCUGAGAUACAGGGUUGGGUGUUGUAGUCUUGUCUGGCUGAUGGUGCAUUGGUCCUGUCUGUUCUUUAUGCUGGUAGAUGAAAGAUCUGUUGUAUUGUUUUUUGUGUUAAAUCUCUUCUGCUACCUCUCAGUUCUCAGGGCUCUGAAAUGUCCCAGGCCGGGGGGAGGGGAGUGCGAAGGCACAAAUAACAUGAAGAUCAGGACCUUCAUGAUCAUUUAGAUUAUCAUGGUGUCUAUUGUCAUGAAUUAUCUUCUAUAUUUUUUGGCCUUUAACAUAUGUUUCACCUUCAAUGUG
rnacentral:lncRNA from 1 species